GUGCCAGCCGCCGCGUAAUACGGAGGGUGCGAGCGUUAAUCGGAAUUACUGGGCGUAAAGCGCAUGCAGGUGGUUUGUUAAGUCAGAUGUGAAAGCCCGGGGCUCAACCUCGGAAUAGCAUUUGAAACUGGCAGACUAGAGUACUGUAGAGGGGGGUAGAAUUUCAGGUGUAGCGGUGAAAUGCGUAGAAAUCUGAAGGAAUACCGGUGGCGAAGGCGGCCCCCUGGACAGAUACUGACACUCAGAUGCGAAAGCGUGGGGAGCAAACAGGAUUAGAUACCCUCGUAGUCC
rnacentral:rRNA from 1 species